rnacentral:rRNA from 1 species
AUGUUCUACUCCCACUCCGUCCUGGCUCGGAAGAGCCCGCUGGGCACGGUGUGGAUCGCCGCGCACCUGGAGCGCAAGGCCGUCAACCGGACGCAGAUCGACGGCGUCGACGUCCCCUCCUACGCCGAGUCCAUAAUGGACCCCGAGGUGCCCAUCGCGCUCCGGCUGUCGGCGCACCUCCUCCUGGGCCUCGUCCGCAUCUACUCGUGGAAGGUGAACCACCUCUUCCAGGACUGCAACCGCAUGCUGAGCGCCAUCAGAACCGCCGCCGCCUUGGCCCCCGCUCGGCCGGACAUCGACCUGCCGCCCGACACCGACCGCGACCCCUUCGCGGCCAUCUCGCUGCCGGCGACCUUCAGCCUGGACGACUGGAACCUGGACGACGCGAUCCUUCUGAUUGAGUCUCCGGACAACCACCGGAGGGCUGCCGAUGAGAUCACCUUGCCUGGAGAACAGUAUGUGAUGGCCACCCUUGAUGAGGACGGGCCGUCUCCUGCCUGUCGAUCCUUGCGCUUUGAGCCUGACUGCCUGAGCCACAAGAGGAGGGGACAAUAUUCCCCCCGUUUCCAGAGGAUGCAGUUUCUGUAG